CCUACGGGGGGCAGCAGUGGGGAAUAUUGGACAAUGGGGGCAACCCUGAUCCAGCCAUGCCGCGUGUGUGAAGAAGGCCCUCGGGUUGUAAAGCACUUUCAGUGAGGAAGAACGCCUGGUGGUUAAUACCCAUCAGGAAAGACAUCACUCACAGAAGAAGCACCGGCUAACUCCGUGCCAGCAGCCGCGGUAAUACGGAGGGUGCGAGCGUUAAUCGGAAUUAUUGGGCGUAAAGCGCGCGUAGGUGGCUUGAUAAGCCGGUUGUGAAAGCCCCGGGCUCAACCUGGGAACGGCAUCCGGAACUGUCAAGCUAGAGUGCAGGAGAGGAAGGUAGAAUUCCCGGUGUAGCGGUGAAAUGCGUAGAGAUCGGGAGGAAUACCAGUGGCGAAGGCGGCCUUCUGGACUGACACUGACACUGAGGUGCGAAAGCGUGGGUAGCAAACAGGAUUAGAUACCCGAGUAGUC
rnacentral:rRNA from 1 species